CACUAGCACAGGGAUCUAAUAGUUAACAAUUAAGAUCCAAAUCUACAUAUUUGAUGCUUAUGUCAACAACAUAUAGAAAAACAAAUGAAUGGGGAUGAUUUUUCAGAUAGGGAGUUGUUUUGCCUAAUGAUGACACUGAUAUGGGAGUUCUUAUAAUUUUCUAAGGUAUAUGCACUUCUGAUGAAUUUUGGAUUUUAGACUCUAGUAAUUCUUACCACAUUUGCUCCAAAAAGGUUUAAUUUGAUUUUUUUGAGUUAAGAGAAUGUACUUUGCAAUUAGCCAAUGAUUCAACUUAUGAGAUGGUGGGUUG
rnacentral:lncRNA from 1 species